CAAGAACCAAGGCUAGUCGCGCCUAAUUCAGGCUUCGUGCCCGCUUUAGGCUGCGGCCCGCUCCUUACCUUGCCUACUGCACCGUUUGUUGCUUCCUGGCGGCGGCUCGCCCGCGCCAGGGACCUUCUUAAAGCCUUGUAUAAGGAUUGAACACUGAUGCACACCUAAAUAAUA
rnacentral:misc_RNA from 1 species